rnacentral:lncRNA from 1 species
UGAGCUCCAAGGUCGUGGUCUGGUCCUCAGGGAUGAGGUCCCGGGUCCAGACUCUUUCCUUGGUCAGCAACUCCUGCUUAGAAGCUCCCCGCCCCGAAUGGAAUCGUGACCUGGCGCUAGGUCCCCCGCUGGGAGUGCCCGAGGCUUUCCUGAAGGCCCCAGGCCUUCAGGCCGCCAGGGUCCUAAGGUGCCUGUGGCGGCCCCUCGUCCGCCUGAGCCCUGAGAUCAGCGCGGCCCUCGGUGCUGCAGGGCCCCAGGGCGGCCAGGAAACACCUGCCCGAAGUCCAGGCCCGGCCCCACUGCAGUCCAGGACCCUAAUUCUCGAGUGUCUCUUCACGACCCUGACCCCGGAAGGGCGCUCCCUUGCGAACGAAUUUUUAAUUCUGCGGACUGGGAUCCCUUGUAGGGGCCCCUCCGAGGGCCCCUCCCACCCCUUUCCCUGGACUAGCGAACUCCGACCCUAAGCGCGGCCCCGCAGGGAGCGGAUCCCGGAAGCUAGGCCCAUAUCCGGCCGCGGAGCCUUGCGCGCGGGGUUGGCUGCCGGGAGGUCGACGCUAGUGCGGUCCCCCGCGCGGCGGAGGGGCCCGGGCCGCGGUAUCUGCGCACUGAGACGUCGGCGGAAGGCUAGAGGCCGUGCUCUCGCCCCCGCAGAAGGCCACCACUCCUUGAGAAGGCCGGAGGGACAAAGCACCGGGCCUGCGCCGGGGGCAUUCAAGAAGGAAGCCAGGCCCGACCGGGGGUGGCGCACGCUUCCCGAACCCCAGGCCCACGGCCCGGUUCCGCGCGGGCAGUUGGCGCCCCCUCGGGUCGGCACAGCAGACCUCUUAGUAAUGGUCCCCAGGGAGUACAGGGACUGAGAAACGGAAAUACUACCAUCCUCCAGCCAAUCUGUUGGGAGGACUGCUUGCAGAGGACUCGUGCUCCAGAUGUUGCACUAGAGGCGCUGCAAGUGUGAGCAGCAGGUAGAUGAAACUCAAGAGAAAAGGUGUGGAUAAAUGAAACUAGCCCAUGAUGAACCUGUUUUCUCCGUGACCACAAUAUUAACCAGGAUGAAUGGCGGUGGCAGUGGGCCUGCAUCACAGGUUGCAGCAGAUGUUCUCAAUAUUUCUAUUAAAAUUUCCUUAUUUCCAUAUGCAAGAGGAGCCCCAGAGCUGCAUCCUUAUGGUAGCUACCAUGCCGUGAUGUAAGCUGCCAUUCACUGGGGAGCUUUGGCAAUAGAAUUGGCUAGAUCAGGAAGCCUAUGUCAACUAUGGAACAACAACUUGCAGCUCAUCUCUAUUGAUGGACCUCUAACAAUGAUAUUGGAAGAAUAGAUACUAAGUCUUGGAGAGGUGAAACAGUCGCAAAUGGAAUUCCAAGAAACAUUCUAUCAUCAGGUAUUAUCUACUGCUGUCUGCAGAAUUCAGACAUGGAGGGCUCAAUGGUGUCCCCUGGUCUUUGGAACAUUCUGUAUUUUAAUGAUCAUGAUACACUGCCUCUAGGACUGGGACAGAUAGCCACUGAGUACCUGCUUCAAAUCACCCUGCACGUUUUCUCUUUGGAAAGAUAAGCACUGGAGAACCAUCUCGUUACCUUCAGCAGAAAUGGAAACAAAUCAAGACAUUAAGAAUGCCGCAGUGGACAGCAGUUAUGCAAGGUUCAGCAGAGGAAGUUUUCAAGAUGGUGUGCCUCACUAGCCAGAAAUCAGAAAAGAUCGAAGCUAGCCUUUUCAUCUCAGCUGCUCCUUAAAUCAGUGCAACCCCUCCAAAUUAAUGUGAAUUGAAACUUGCAUUGCUUUUCAACUUAAUUGAAUACUUACUAUAUGUGAACCACUGCACAAAAUAGGGGAAGAAGAUGUGGGAGACAAAGAUGUGGAGCCUGUCUUCAAUAAAUUUACAGUUAGUUUCAGGGUACAUUGUUUUUCUUCUGCUGUUAAUUAGGUGUAUCCCCAAGACAAUAAAUACAUGAAUGGAAAAGUAUAUUCUGUGUUUUAAGUCUCUUUAAUAAAAAACAAAACAAAAUCCAAAAAAACUCCUAACAUGGCAACUCAGGACAUUUUAAUCCUUUUUUUUGUUGUUGGGCUUCUGAUAGGAUCCAUUUUAUUGAUUCCAUAAAUAUUUAGUAGACUUUAGACAUAUUAAUACAUUGUAGUUUGAGUUAAUUUGCAUUAAAUUCUGUUUUUUUCCCCUUAGGUAUAGAUUGUCUGUUGGAAAAAUAUAUUGCUUGUGGAUUUCUUGGGGAGUGGGAAGGUGAAUUAUACCUGUUGUCUCUACAGUCCACUACCUUCCACACCCUAGGGCAGUGGUCCCCAACCUUCUUGGCACCAGGGAUCAGUUUCCUGGAAGACAAUUUUUCUGUGGAUGGUGUGGGGAUGGUUUUGGGAUGGAACUGUUCCACCUCAGAUCAUCAGGCAUUAGUUAGGCUCUCAUAACGAGUGCGCAGCCUAGAUCCCUCACAUGCACAGUUCACAGUAGGGUUUGCGCUGCUAUGAGAAUCUAAGGCUGCCACUGAUCUGACAGGAGGCAGAACUCAGGUGGCAAUGCUUACUGGCCCACUGCUCACCUCUUGCUGUGCGGCCUGGUUCCUAAUAGGCCAUGGACCCCCACAGACGGGUACUAGUCUGCAGCCUGUGGACCCCAGCCCUAGGGGCCUGCCAUUCUGAGUGAGUUAUUAGCAUGAAGAAGAGGAAGAUCUGGAUCAAACGUGGGUGAUGGUACUCAGAGACCCAAGAUAGGAUAGGGAUGGAACAAAAUCCAUCUGGGCAACGGCUCUAUGAAAAUUUGGCUAAGUAAUUAUUUCAGUAUUCAUUGUAUUCAUUGUCCUUCGUGUUCCAUAAGUUAAAUGACUGUCUAAUUUUUCCAAAAAUUUAUUUCUGACUUGAGAAUAAGUGUGUCAUGAUUUUCCCAGUGUAAAGACACUGAUAUAACUGUAGAUACCAGACAUUUUAUGUAGUGUCUAUGACACAUUUUAGUAUGUAUGAGCCAACAAUAGACAUGUCUUUGUCUUGAGGAGUGUCCAUCUGAAUUGAAAAUGUGUCAGCUUUUUUUUAACAUCAUCAACAGACUUCUUAAUUAAGCUGCCAAUACAUACUGCCAAUAGCACUGUGUGCUGUCUGAGAAAUGCAUUGUGUAAGUGCUAUUUCCAUCUUAUUAAAUAAACAAUGUUGCUCUGUAUAAACUGGAUUUAAAGUGUUCUUUGAAUGAGGCAUUAUAUUGCUCCAUAAAUAAUGUGAUGUGAAUUCUCAUAUGAUCCCUUUUAACUUAAUUUCUAAAAAAAUAUUAUUUGCUCCUCAGUAAGGAAUAGCUCUAAUUGGACUGGUAACUUUAGUGAUAUGAUUUGUCUGUAACAGGCUGAAUCGCCCCACUCCCAAACUCCUGGUCGUGAUACUGGAUAUUUGUUAUGCCACUUUUAGUUUGCAUGAGGUAUCUUCCAGGAAGUAUUAGUUAUUAACUUGUGUUCUACUAAACUGUAGAUAUUUAUUUCCUGUUCUGGAAGAUUUCUUGGAGUGUCCAUCUGUGCAUUCCUGGUGCCUAGUGUAGUCUUGCUAAUGGAAUAGCACCUUUAUUGGUGCUACUUAGGGGUUGGUAGCUUACAAUCAAUCUACUUGGAACGUAUCCAAAUAAACUGGAUAUUUUUAUACA